rfam:Gossypium arboreum cultivar AKA8401 contig_912_1, whole genome shotgun sequence.
UAUUAAAAUUUUUAUUCAUUUCUACAGUUAAAAACUGGUAUGACUAUAUAACCACAUAGUUACACAUAGUACCUCAUUUUGAGGUACAUGAACCAAUUUUUAACGGUAGAAAUGGAUGAAAUUUUUAAUA